CAAAUUUUACACCCCUAAAUCUCCACUGAGAUGCGUCGGUCCUGCAUUGCAUCUGCUGCUGCAAUCUCUUAUGCAAAAGAGCCUCAGUGAAGGGAGAGCAGAUCGGCAUGUACCUUCCUUUCCCCUGCAGUUUGCCCUCCGUGCGAGGAAAGGCGAACGCCAUUCCCAAACGAAGCUGUGAGCACGGGGAAAUCCUGCAUUCGUUUCCGAAGAUAUUGCAGAUCCGGUGGCUAAAUGACAUAUGCCGCGCUGCUGCCCCCGGGCUUUUCUCCCUGGCUCUGUGCAAACAGCCUGUCACUUGCUCACCGGCUGCCCCACGACUUGGCUGCUGUUACAGGGCGGGCUCGGGGAUUGCUUUCUUCUGAGUAAAUGACUUACGCGUGCACACAACGUGACAAAGGAACCUUGUAAAAUCAGGAGCAGAGAUGGUGUUUGGCCCUCCGACCCCCUGACCCUGCAACAAUUUAGUUAAUGAUUCGGGUUAUCAGAUAUACUGGCUCAGCAGUGCAUCCAUCACGGGGUUGACAAGGAUUCAAUCCUACAAGGGGCGGGAAUGUGCAAACACAUUCGAUCCUCGCCUGUCCAGCCCCCAGCGUGCCUCCCCACUAAAUCCAAGAACAAACAGAGCGUUUCCAUUGGGUGAAGAUCUGCUGUGAUUUAUUGGGAAAUAAUAUACAGAAAGGGCUUGCAGGACCUGGGCCUGCCUCACAUGCAGAACCUACGAGAUGCUGCUGGCUGCCAGCUCUCCUUGCAGCACAUCAAGGGAAAAGCAGCAAGCAAUUGCGCUUUACCUUGCACGAUGGCCUUUGCCUGUUUCUCUGCAAUAUUUUAAUUGCACUAGAUUAAAUCUUGUGGCCCAAGUACCUCACUGAAAUCAACAGCCUUCUGUGCUGAACCUAAGACUUUUACCUUGCAUCCAUACUGCUUCUAUGUCCCAGCUCUCUGCACUCUUGCCCCUUGUCCAUUAUUUAUUUUCAGCCCCUGCCCAGGACACUGUGACCCCCCCCAUUGCCCUAGAUACUGUCCAGUCCUCCACCCCCUUUCUGUAGAUUAUUCUGCAAUAAAUCACAACGAUCUUCACAUGGUGAAAAAGCUCUGUUUGCUUGGAUUUUGGGGAGGUCAGUAAAAAUGCUCUGAGCCAGCGUAGCUCCAAGGACACCAAAAUAAGCUUUGAGAACUGGUCCUGCAACAGCAACAGCCCGGGGUUGCCCAGACCUGGACCUGACCCAAACUCCCAAGCUUUGCGAUGGAUGGCUUGCCCCUGCGUUCUUGGGUUUCAUGGUAUUUUCAUGCUUGAGCAAGGCCCGAAGCAAACUGCUGAAAUACAGCUGGUCAGCUCACCAGCUUUUUUUACGCUUAACAGACCUGGAAAAAUCUGGAAAUGCUUCCUUUGCACAGGCAGUUUAGAAAUGAGCUUGAACUGAAAGUCUCCAAAGAUCUGUCCUUCCUUCUGUUCAAAUCCGGUCAUAAAUUCCCACUCCCAUUUCAUUUUCUUGCCUCUUUAUGUCAUGACUGUGCUGGCGCGAAGGAGCAGCCAAACAGCAGAUUGCUGCAAAGCCUGCUGGUGCCAAGGCCAGGCUGCACACGCCGCGCUGGCACGGCGAGUGGCGCGGAGGCUCGGGGGACCUCUCAGACUGUGAACUUUUGGCUCUCCAUCUUGAAGAAAUGCUUCCAGAAGACAGGCUGACACGUCCCGUAGGCUGAACCAACGCUGUCUAACACCGGCCGUCGGAGAGCACCGGGAGACGACACACUGCAGAGCAAGGCAAGCAUUAACUGGCCCGACGCACAUCUCUUCUGCGUAGCAAUUAUUUCAAAUAAGACUCACAGUCUCCAGUUCAUUGAACAACCACACGGCAAGAGCAUAACUCCUGUCUGAAGAUCUAAAAUAAAGAGUAAUGCUCCAUUCAAAGGCCCCUGAGUUUAAUCCCUCCUGAUUCACCAGGGAAGUUUACUGCACGCCCAACUUCAAGCUCACGCAGAAAUGCCCCUGAAUGAAAGAGCCUGUGAGUAUUUAAGUUCAGUGCUGCCUGGAAAUGGAGGCCAAUGUAUACGAAAACCCUUUUCUCUCUUGAACCUUUUGUAGACAAUGAAAACAGUGAAAACUCAGAAUUCAAGACUGAGGUGAUAGUUUCAUUCCUUCUCGCUUGGAAACUUUCAGAAGAACUUACGGGUCAUUUUGCCCUGUGUUUUUCUCGGUGUGGGUGUGGGUGUGCAAACCACACGUACAGCAUCAACCUGCAGUGAACUCAGAGUCACAAAAUUGGAAUUCUGCUGUUUCCAGCAUCUAAAACAUCAGUUCAGUUAUGGAACAGGAAGCUUUAUCACAGAUUCUGAAUUCAUUAUACUACGCAGUAUGGCAAGUCAUAACACUGAUGGGGGAUUUUCCUUUUUGUUGGCACAACAUGAAAUCAUGUCCUAGUGGGAGGGAUAUCUGUCUCUCGCUCAUGUUUUUCAACAUGGGCCUAAGAACCUGCUUUCUACUUAGUUUUCCAGACUUAGAUACAGAUCUACGUGUUGAACCUUCAGAACCAUGACCCUUUCAAACAGUGCAAUUUCCUGAUAAUAUAUAGCAAGCUAAGGGAACUCCAGCAAUGCUAACUAACAAAACAGUGGAUGGCCUAUAAAGGUUUCCUUUGAAAAUGAAGGUUGCUCUUGAAAUGGUAUUGUUGCACAGCAUCAUAGUCUUAAAAAAUGGUACACUGGGCUGCAGGUGGACGUGGAGGGAGCACCAGAAGGCUCUUCAUUCCAAGGGGACACUCUGCGUGGGGCUGGCCUCAAUGCAGCACAUUGGGGCAGGGAGUCUGUUGUGCUAUUCACAGCACUCUGCCAUUUGCUGCCAAGGAAACCAAAGCUCGGUGCUGGACCUUGAAUCUCAGGGCCUUGAACUGCUGAAGGUUGGCAGAACCAUUUAAAUAAUGCCAUCAGUUCUUGGGUAUUCAUGCUCAUUAGUGGGGACUGCAGAUGUGACAGCCACCGCUCCUGUAGGUAGUUCCUCGCUAAUUUUCCAAAUCAGAAGUAUUAGGGCAUAAAACAAGGCAGGGGACCUUUCUGUGACACCAAGUGACACAAAUUGACUGUGUCCACGUUACAUAGCAUUUGAGACUGGCUCUCCUCUGGGGCCCAUAUGAUGACCCUCAGACACUAUUAUUUUUUGUAUAUUUUUUCAGCUCACACUGUCAGCAGUAACACAAGGGUCAUACUAGUCAGAAUGGCUGAAAUUGAGGUUAUGAUUGUAUACCCUACCAUGAAGUCAUGGGAAGAUGCAAAUGCGUGGGGACCAUGCUCUGUGCUAAGAAAAUAAGGGAUGGCAGGAAUGAACAUUUGCUGUCAGGUGGGCAGCAUUCUCCACAUAUUUCCUUAUAUAAGAGCCCAUACCAGCUACACCGUGCCACUGUGUCCUGGAUGGGCAGGAAACGUGCAACAGGGUGACCCCAGAAAGGGAAAAAUCUGAUUGUCUCUUCCAUAGACUGAUGGGGAUGCCAUAUAGUGCUUACACUGUGCAGUGUUGGUUGACUGUCUUCUCUCCGGCCAUCUGGAGUAGCAAAACUGGCAUGUAACAUAUGUGAAGGCAGACUAUAACAGCUGAAGCUGGAAAAGAGAAAGACAGAGGAAGCUGUCUGUGCUACCAGAAACUAUUCUGCUAGAUACAGGGGUUUCAUUUAUUUACCAAUAAAUGUCAGACAUCAGUAACAACUAGGAAUGAACCCCAAAAUGAGGAAGAUAGAUAGAUGCAUGAGAAAUAGU